CAAGUACAAAGAGAAGCAAGACCGUGAGGUGGGGCAAAACUCAAAAACUUGUCUCAGUUCGGAUUGUAGGCUGAAACUCGCCUACAUGAAGCUGGAGUUGCUAGUAAUCGCGAAUCAGCAUGUCGCGGUGAAUACGUUCCCGGGCCUUGUACACACCGCCCGUCAAGCCAUGGAAGCCGGGGGUGCCUGAAGUGUGCAGCCGCAAGGAGCGCCCUAAGGUAAAACCGGUGACUGGGGCUAAGUCGUAACAAGGUACC
rnacentral:rRNA from 1 species